rnacentral:lncRNA from 10 species
AGCCGGGCGUGGUGGCACAUGCCUGUAAUUCCAGCUACUUGGGAGGCUGAGGCAGGAGAACUGCUUGAACCCAGAAGGCAGAAGUUGCAGUGAGCUGAGAUUGCGUCACUGCACUCCAGCCUGGGUGACACAGCAAGACUCUGUCUCAAAAAAAAAAACAACAAGAAACCACUGGAGAUUUUGCAGAGUUGUGGGGAGGUUCCCACAACUGCUGCUGUCAAAAACAGCUAGCACAUUGCUCAGGAUGCAGCUGCUUGUCCAGAGGGGUGUGAAGGGAAGGCGGACAGGCACCAGGGAGGCAGUCUACAAACUGAGUGCACUGCUUACACAGGAGGAAACUGACAAAGAGGCCCCAGAGGAGGCAGAUUCUAGCCUGCAGCUUCCCCAUCCCUCAAAGCAUGCAGGUUAUGCUUCUUGUUGCAGAGAGGAAAGGAGGAAAUUUUUCGAUAGAAAAAUCUUGGAGAUCCUGUUGCUGUCACCCAUCGGGCUGUUGGAAGCUGGGGUUAGUCCAGAAGUCUUCAGGUAAUGCCAGGGUGUUGCCCUGGCCAGGAACUCUCAGUUGCCUCUGAACUUCUUCCAGCCCCACAUGAUGGCUAAGCUCUCCAUGAAAGGAGACCAGUUGGAAACAAAGCCAACAUUCCCAGCACCCUGAGGGCACUGAAGGAUUGGCUAAGUUCUCCCCGGCAAGCCUGUUCCCUGAGAAAAUGGAGGACAGAGUCCUUAAAAUGAAAGAGCUGGGGUCUGUGCCUAUACUCACUCUUUCAAUGAAUCUACGUCGGAUCCCAGGCAGGCCCCCACAAUGAAGUGGUGUUGUUCAACUGAGGUAAUACCCAAGGUUCGUUGUCUCAUGGCCACAGAAAACUAGGACUCGGACACACCAGAGUGAGGUUAAGAGCAGAAGUUUAAUAGGCAAAAGAAAGAGAAAAGCUCUCUCUGUUGCAGAGAGAGGGGUCCUGGCGAAAAUGGGUUGCCCCCAAGUUCAUUCUUGUUGUUCGCAAUGUUCAGCGUCUUGCGGUUGUGGGACUGACCGUAACAGACGAUUUUUUUGUUGGCUAGAAGCCACCUGCAUUCCUUGAUGUGUGGCCCCUCCAUCUUCAAGUGAGCAAUGGUGUUUUGAAUCCUCCUUAUGCUUCAUGUCUUUGACUUCCUCUUCUGUGACCAACCGGGAAAAACUCACUGCUUUAAAAGGGCUCUUAGGAUUAGAUCAGGUACUGUGUUAGUUCACUUUUGCAUUGCUAUAAAGAAAUACCUGAGGCUGGGUGAUUUAUAAAGAAAAGUGGUUUAAUUGGCUCAUGGCUCUGCAGGCUGUACCAGCAUAGCUCUAGCAUCUGCUUCUGGUGAGGCCUCGGGAAGCUUCUAAUCAUGGUAGAAGGUGAAGGGAGAGCAAGUGGUGUCACAUGGUGAGAGCCAGAGCAAGAGAGAGAAGGGGAGGGUGCCAGAUUCUUUUAUUUUUUAUUUUUGUUUUUUGAGACAGAGUCUUGCUCUGUUGCCCAGGCUGGAGUGCAGUGGCAUGAUCUCGGCUCACUGCAACCUCCACCUCUCGGGUUCAAGUGACUCCCAUGCCUCAGCCUCCUGAGCAGCUGGGACUACAGGUGCACGCCACCAUGCCCAGCUAAUUUUUUUGCAUUUUUGUUAGAGAUGGAGUUUUGCCAUGUUGCUCAGGCUGGUCUCGAACUCCUGAACUCAGGCAAUCUGCCCACCUUGGCCUCCCAAAGUGCUGGGAAUUCAGGCAUGAGACAUGGCGCCUGGCCCCAGACUCUUUUGAACAAGCAGAUCUGUGAACUAACCGGGUGAGAACUCACUUAUUACCAAGGGGAUGGUGGUAAACCAUUCAUGAGGAAUCCGCCCCGGUGAUCCAAUACCUCCCGCCAGGCCCACCUCCGACACUGGGAAUCACAUUUCAACGUGAGAUUUCAGAAGACACACAUCCAAACCGUAUCAAGCAUACCCAGAGAUUUUCCGUAUCUUAAGGCCAUUUAUGCCAAAUAACAUAAGCUGAUCACAAGAGUAAACGCCACCAUAUUCACAGCGCAGGGUAUUUUACAGGACAUGUACACAGGAUGGGGAGGACUGGGCUGAAAUCCUGGAGGCCAUCUUAGAAUCUGCCUAUCAUAGUUGCCGGGGUUGAGAAACAAGAAAGCCAGUGUGGCUGGAGCACAGUGAACAAGGGGGUGCAGGGAGGAGAGACAGCAGAGUAUCACAGGUGGAGAGACACAUAUAUACCACCUAGCCUGAUGGGAGGCUGAAGGCCUGAAAGUCACCUUGUGCAAUUUUGGUUCCUGAGGAAGGGGAGGGUCAUGCGAGUUCCUCCAUGGAUUCACUUGCACUAAAAAGCACCCCUGGGGUGGGACCCAGUCGAUGAUGGAAGUCAAUGGAAUGCGUGUUGAAGAGUAGCCCUUGGAGAACCAGUGGGCUGCUGGGCAUAGGUGAUAAGUUCUGCUCUGUGCAUUUGGCCCAGUAGGCACAAUGCCAAGAAGCCAUGGGCUCGUCAAGGAUCCAUGGAGAAGUCUGAAAUCUAAAAAAGCUGGCUGGAAAAAUAUUUUAAAACUUUCCAAACUUGAAAGACUUAGUGAAGUGCCUACCAAGUAGCAUUGUGUCAAUGGGUCAUGAGCAACGCCCAAGUCUCCUAAUAGUUACAUAUGCGUUCUAUGUGAUGUGACUGCAUUUUGUUUCCAUUUUAACAUUAUUGUAUUUAUUUUUUCGUAGUAUCAUGUGCAAUGUACAAAUAAAAAGGAACAAAAGGAGAUGCCCUGAAAAGCAAGUCUCUCUCCCACCUCUGACCCCCAGCCACGCACCCUCUCCCCACUGAGGCGUUUCCUGUACUCAAAGGUAUUUUGUGCACAUGCUAAUGAACAUGUAUAUAUACACCUGACUCCUCCCCUUUUCACAAUGGUGGCUGUUCUGCCUGCUUUUUUUCUUUUUUCUUGGCAGUACAUCUUGGAGAUGUUUCCUAUUGGCUCAUGUGGAGCUGCCCAUUCUUUUGUACAGCAGCAGAGCAGUCUGUUAUUUGGAUGAACUGUCAUUUAUUAACUAGACAUGCCCACAACCCUGCCACCUCUUUUCCUAACACACUGGGCAGUCUUGGCCUCUCCCAGGCUCCCUGGGAGGGUCACUACUUUCACAAAGAUGAUGCCCACUUCUGCCCAUGGAAUCUGGCUUGCCCAGUGACUACCUGACAGGGUUGAGUGACACCACCCAGAAGUGCAAAGAAGGCAGUAAAGAAGAAAGAAGAAUUUAUUAGGUGCCCGAGGAAGGGCUCAAUCCUGCCAGUCUAAACAUUGUUGUACAUACCUCCUGAUAUGUUUUUCUAGAAUGUCUCCAGGAAGGGAUUGCUGGGAAUAAGUGCAAAAUAAUGCCCAAUUGUUCUCCAGAGUGGUUGUACAACUGACUCCCUUAUCACCAGUGUCAAGGAGUCCUUGUUCCACAUAAUUGAUCACAUUUGGACUUGUCUAGCUUUUUAAGUUUUGCCAAUUGAGUAGACAGGAAAUGAGCUUUUAAUUUGGAUUUCUCUAAUUACUCAGAGGUUGAGCAUCUUUUCAAAUGUUUGUUGGCUAUUCAUGUUUUCGCUUCUCUAUGUCUGUCCAAAUCUUUAGUCCAUUUUUCUUUUUGAUUGUUUGUCCUUGUCUUAUUGAAUUGUAGGGGUUCUUUAUAUAUUUGGGUGCUAAUCUUUGUCAGUUAAAUUGUUACGGACAUCUUCUAGCUUGUGACUUGUCUUUCCACUUUUAAAAAAUGGUGAACUU